UUUCCCAUUUAACUACAACAUUUUCUUCUAAAAAUAGAUUUUAGUGGCUAUGCUUAUGGGAUAAAUUAAAGUUUCCAUGAUCUGAAGGGGAAGAGUUUAAAAAGUGCCCUCCUUCUAUAUAAAAUGGCUGAACAGAAGAAA
ensembl:snoRNA